rnacentral:rRNA from 1 species
GAAAAGAACCCCGGAAGGGGAGUGAAAUAGAUCCUGAAACCGCAUGCAUACAAACAGUGGGAGCCCGUAAGGGUGACUGCGUACCUUUUGUAUAAUGGGUCAGCGACUUACAUUCAGUAGCAAGCUUAACCGAAUAGGGGAGGCGCAGCGAAAGCGAGUCUUAAUAGGGCGUAUAGUUGCUGGGUGUAGACCCGAAACCAGAUGAUCUACUCAUGGCCAGGAUGAAGCGAGGGUAACACCUCGUGGAGGUCCGAACCCACUAAUGUUGAAAAAUUAGGGGAUGAGCUGUGGGUAGGGGUGAAAGGCUAAACAAAUCUGGAAAUAGCUGGUUCUCUCCGAAAACUAUUUAGGUAGUGCCUCAUGUAUCACCUUUGGGGGUAGAGCACUGUUAUGGCUAGGGGGUCAUUGAGACUUACCAAACCAUUGCAAACUCCGAAUACCAAAGAGUGCGAGCAUGGGAGACAGACAUCGGGUGCUAACGUCCGGUGUCAAAAGGGAACAACCCAGACCCUCAGCUAAGGUCCCCAAGACACAAUUAAGUGGGAAACGAAGUAGGGG